rnacentral:rRNA from 1 species
CCUACGGGAGGCAGCAGUGGGGAAUAUUGCGCAAUGGGGGAAACCCUGACGCAGCAACGCCGCGUGAGUGAGGAAGGACUUCGGUCUGUAAAGCUCUGUUAAUGAGGAAAAAUGGUAGUUGGUCUAAUAGGCUGAUUAUUUGAUGGUACUCAUAGAGGAAGCACCGGCUAACUUCGUGCCAGCAGCCGCGGUAAUACGAAGGGUGCAAGCGUUGUUCGGAUUUAUUGGGCGUAAAGCGCGCGUAGGCGGACCCGCAAGUCAGAUGUGAAAUCUCGAGGCUCAACCUCGAAACUGCGUCUGAAACUACUGGUCUAGAAUCUCGGAGGGGGAAGGGGAAUAUCGCAUGUAGGGGUAAAAUCCGUAGAUAUGCGAUGGAACACCAGAGGCGAAGGCGCCUUCCUGGACGAGUAUUGACGCUGAGGCGCGAAAGCGUGGGGAUCAAACAGGAUUAGAUACCCUGGUAGUCCACGCUGUAAACGAUGAACACUAGAUAUUGGAGGAUUUGACCCCUUCAGUGUCGCAGCUAACGCGUUAAGUGUUCCGCCUGGGAAGUCGGUCGCAAGACUAAAACUUAAGGAAUUGACGG